AAUGGCAAGAGGGCCUCUAUUCCACUGAUCUAUAUAUAUCUAUAAUAUAUAAUUAUAUUUAUAUAUAUAUAGAUCAGUGCUCUAUUCUGUUUAUGUAAACGUAUGUACACUUUAAGUGAAAAUGAUUGUGCAAAACAGCAGUAAUUGAACUAAAUCCAACCUCAACUGUAAACGACAGAUGUAUCCUCAAGUGAAGAACAAGUGUAAUGUAAUUGCUAUACACAUCAUAUUGAACCGCUUUCUAUUUAAGUACAAGUGACAGGUUUCUCUUCAAGAACAAAAGUUGCUAAACGUUCUGACCGUCUCUCCUGUCAGAAAGCUCAUCAAGAACAUGAGAUGCUGCACUGAACAGUCUCUCACUCUCUGUGCUAGUGCGUGGGCAGAUAAAUACCUGUGCGCAAUCCGCGCAAGCAAAGGAAAGCGGUGUUUGUUUAUGCGCCCGUAGUCAAGGGGAUUGUCGCUUCUGGCGUAGUUCAGAUAAAUACGUCUCAAGUUGUGGUGUAGCUGCGCUAGUUGUGACAUUUUCCUGUAGAAUCUCUUGCUGUAUUCUGUAUAUACACUCUAAAAAAUGCUGGGUUAUUUUUUCUACCCAUUCGCUGGGUUAAGUAUUUUAACCUAUUUUGCUGGGUUAUAUUCUCGGUAUUGGCUCAUAUUGACCCAGCGUUUGGGUUCCUUGGUUGACAUAAAGUACACUUAGAAUAUUUGACCCAGCGUUUGGGUUAUCUCAUCUCCUCGCGCUGUUCAAGGACAAAACGUAACGGUCGAGAGGAGGACGACGUUGGACAGUAUAUGAGUAAAGGUCAUUUUAAAUGGACAGCUUUGUCACUGACAAGUUAACUGAGUGGCGGCUGUCUGAGCUGAUUGAGAAUUUUAGAGAUGAAGACAUAGAUGAGGAAGCAUUUCUUCUUUUAGAUGAAGACACUAUAAAAAAUCUUGUCCGCAAAGUUGGCCCCAGGCUUAAAUUCCUGAGUCUCUUCAGAGAAUUUGUAAGUUACCUCCACUAGAGC